rnacentral:rRNA from 1 species
CGCGAUUCGCCCUUCGGGGUGCAGCAGGCGCGAAAACUUUACAAUGCUGGCAACAGCGAUAAGGGGACCUCGAGUGCCAGGAUACAAUCUUGGCUGUCGUGAUGCCUAAAAAGCAUUACAUAGCAAGGGCCGGGCAAGACCGGUGCCAGCCGCCGCGGUAACACCGGCGGCUCGAGUGGUAACCGCUAUUAUUGGGUCUAAAGGGUCUGUAGCCGGCCGGAUAAGUCUUUUGGGAAAUCCAGCUGCUCAACAGUUGGGCUUUCAGAAGAUACUGUUCGGCUCGAGGCCGGGAGAGGUGAGAGGUACUUCAGGGGUAGGGGUGGAAUCUUGUAAUCCUUGAAGGACCACCAGUGGCGAAGGCGUCUCACCAGAACGGUCCUGACGGCAAGGGACGAAAGCUAGGGGCACGAACCGGAUUAGAUACCCGGGUAGUCCUAGCCGUAAACGAUACUCGCUAGGUGUCAGCCACGGUGCGACCGUGGUUGGUGCCGUAGGGAAGCCGUGAAGCGAGCCACCUGGGAAGUACGGCCGCAAGGCUGAAACUUAAAGGAAUUGGCGGGGGAGCAC